UACAGAGGGGGCUAGCGUUGUUCGGAAUUACUGGGCGUAAAGGGCGCGUAGGUGGCCUGUUAAGUCGAACGUGAAAGUCCCUGGGCUCAACUCAGGAACUGCAUUCGAAACUGUCUAUCUGGAGUACGGGAGAGGUGAGUGGAAUUCCUGGUGUAGAGGUGAAAUUCGUAGAUAUCAGGAGGAACACCGGCGGCGAAAGCGGCUCACUGGCCCGAUACUGACGCUCAUGUGCGAGAGCGUGGGGGAGCAAACAGG
rnacentral:rRNA from 1 species